CCUGAAGCCAGAACACAACAGCAUUGUGAUUAGCUGGACCCUUGCCUUGGAAAACAUUCGAACAUGCAGCAGGAGGAAUAUCUGACGGAUAAUCCACCAAACAAUUGGCAGCUUUAAAGAAAAGGAGCCGAGGUCUGCUGGCCGACAACCUGAUCUUUCCUCGCAGAGUGGGCUGAAAAACGAAAUCUCCAGGUGGCCCCAGUGCAGCGCUUCUUAGAGAACAGAAGGUGACUCGAAACCAGAUUGUAAUGGGAGGAUGCUGUUUGUGAAGAAAAAGGUGCCCAAACCCAAGGAAGGACUUACAUCAAAUCCUUGUAAACGACCAACAUU